rnacentral:rRNA from 1 species
CCUACGGGUUGCAGCAGUAGGGAAUCUUCGGCAAUGGACGAAAGUCUGACCGAGCAACGCCGCGUGAGUGAAGAAGGUUUUCGGAUCGUAAAACUCUGUUGGUAGAGAAGAACGUUGGUGAGAGUGGAAAGCUCAUCGAGUGACGGUAACUACCCAGAAAGGGACGGCUAACUACGUGCCAGCAGCCGCGGUAAUACGUAGGUCCCGAGCGUUGUCCGGAUUUAUUGGGCGUAAAGCGAGCGCAGGUGGUUUAUUAAGUCUGGUGUAAAAGGCAGUGGCUCAACCAUUGUAUGCAUUGGAAACUGGUAGACUUGAGUGCAGGAGAGGAGAGUGGAAUUCCAUGUGUAGCGGUGAAAUGCGUAGAUAUAUGGAGGAACACCGGUGGCGAAAGCGGCUCUCUGGCCUGUAACUGACACUGAGGCUCGAAAGCGUGGGGAGCAAACAGGAUUAGAUACCCCCGUAGUC